AAUACUCCCUUCCACCGUUGGCCUCCUUCUCAAGAGAAUUCUCCCCAAUUCAAUUUCUCAAAACCCAAAUCAUGAAGAGGAAAUCCCUAGAUUAGAAGUCUCCAAAUCGAAACCCGUCGCUCCUUCGGCUUGCCGGAACGUCACCGACGAAACCUCUCGGCGUCUCUUUCUCGGUGUAUCACUACUCCGGUCGGCGCUCUCUCUGCACCGUCGGAGCUCGCCCCCUCCUCGUCCUCCUUCCUUGACGAAAUCGCCACUCCACACGGACGUCGGAGCGUCGACGGCUCCAGCUCUUCAGCGUCCCGGAGUCUACCAGAAGUCUCGGCCUUCGUACAUCUCUCUCUUUUUUUUUUUCGGUCAGCACACACUUCCCUCGUCUUCUCCGGCGACCUCGCGCUCGGAGUGAACCCUUCAGUGGUGACUGACGCUGUUCUCUACUCGGUCAGACAGCCUCCUUCAGUCGCUCCAGCCUCCGUCGCCGUUCCUUUCGUCGCUGGUCUUGCGCCGCCGGAGAAAGAGCCGAGGCAUCGCCUCACUUCCUUCUUCCAUGGACACGGCUUCACCCGGCGUUCAUGAAGCUUGUCAGAGCGGUGCCGCCUUCGCACCAGGAGCUUCCGUGGCUGCCUUCGCGGCCUUGCCGUCGUCGGUGGUCUCCGGGCAGAUCCUUGUCUCUAAAGCUAAGUCUCCUUAUUUAGCUAAUUUACGACUUCCUUAGACGACACCGGUUCCGAUUACACGAUUUAGCAUUAGGCAGGUUAUUGUGAUUCGGUUAAGAGGCUCGAACUAGAGUUUUAAACUGCAAAUCCUUACGUUAUAGUUCAAAUAACACUAAAGACAUUUGAACACAAACUCUAUUGGUUCUGACAGUUGUUGGCUGCUGUCGCUAAUUCAUGUUGCUUACUGUUAUGGUGUCCUAAGGAUGAAAUGAUGUUGAUAACAUGAUUGUGUGUGUGUUCUCAUGGAGGAAAGGAUGUGUUAAGGAGAGUUGUGGUGGUUUACCUGUUGUGGUGAAAGGCCAAAAGGAAAGAAGUUGUUCUUGCUUGUUCACAGCCCCUUUUACAAAGCUUACUCUCUCCCUCGGUGGUUAUCUGAAAGGUUGAAGUGAAGGAGUGGUAUUUGGGGUGGAGGCACACAUAUAUAUACAGGUUUUCUUGUAACUGAAAGCUUGCAAAAGCUGGUUGUGUUGCUGGAAAAAAGGGCUUAAGGCUGCCCCUAUGUUGGCUGGCCUUGUGAGAGCAGCACCAAGGUGUACUCGUGCAUUAAAUGGUGUCGUUCCCUCCAUUGUACCCCACUGCAGAGAUCCCUCCCCUCUCCUUUAUUUUGCAACACCUUUAACUGAUUUGCAGGUAUGUAAUACUGUCUGAUGAGCUGCCAAAAUAGUCUUGCAGUUGUUGGGCAGGGCUGGUGAGCUGGGUGGGAUGCACCUGCCGCUGCGCAGUGUACUUGCUGGACAAUCUGCUGGAAGGGCAGGCCAUCUCUGGUUGCGGCAGCCUUCAGCCUUGCCUAAUUUGGCUCCGGUUGCUGUGUUGGUACAGCCUUUAGGCCGGCUCACGGUCUUAGUCGCUGGUUCCUUUGGCUCGGCCCUCAUCUACACUCCCAAGUUGUAAUAGACUAAUUUUAUUUAUUAUCAUUCUUGUAAGCUAAGACAAUAGCCUUGAAAGUAGUAUAUCGUACUUUAUUCGUCUACGAAUAAACGAGCAUUGCUUCUGUUGAAAUCUGUAGCUUUGAGAAAAAACGGAAAAUGUAUUUAUACUCUUAUUCGAGAAAUAAAAUACUCAUUCAUUAUUAAA